CAUCAGUGGGGAAAGUCACAAUGGAGGGCCUGGGAUUCUGGAGUAAGUUCAUGUCAUCCACAGCAGAAAUAUAUGCCCCCUUCUCGAAGCAACUUUUAGUGUUGCUGGCCCUGAUCAGAUAGAAUUCUUGACCACAGGACACUGAGAACCACGUAAUUCCAAGUGGUUGUAUGAAUUGGCUUCUGUGUGACCUACAGAGUUAUAGAUUGGACAGGCCCAACAGUGUCCAUCAUGAGAUGGAAAUGGUCCAUGUGGAAUGAGCCCAAACCCCAAGUUAACACCCCAUCUGCCCAGAAAAUACCUGCCCCUGAGGUGGCACUGAACAACCAAGCAGACAAAUGGAAGUUAGCCAGCCUUCACUGGGGGCCAUCUCAGGCCUUGCAGGGUGGGAACAUGCAUGCAGGAAUCACAAUAGCUCCCUUCAUGUGCCCAUCCUUCCAGGUCACUCAGUGGCCUUGGUCGGUGGGAGUCAGUGCUGCUGGACCCAUAGGUAGCCUCCAAAAGCAAAGAGAUUCACAGUGUGAGCGAGAUUCAACGUGAGGGGCUUCCUCCGCUGUGAGCUUUGAAAAUGAAGGGGCCAUGUGGCAAAGGAUAUGGCGGGCUCCAGGAAUUGAGAGCAGCUCCACCCCACCUCCACCUGACAGCUGCCCAGGAACAAGGACUACAAUCUCACAACUGCCUGAAACUGAAUUCUGCCACCAAGCUCUGUAUAAGCUUGAAGGAGGACCCCAGCCUCAAGAUGAGGACACAGCUUCGUGAAAUCCUGAACUGAGAAUCAUUCACACCAGGCCUGGAUUUCUCAUUAAGGAAAUGUAGAGAAAUAAAUGGGUGCUGUGUAGAGCCAGUGAGUUAGUGGUAAUAUGUUAUGCAGUAACAGAAAAUUCAUACAUAGGCCAACAGAUAAGCAUAUAACAUUUUCUCUAUUGGAAUAAACUAGUGAAUUGAAAUGUACACUCCUUGUAUAAGAUAAAAUCUUUCCUAAUUUUU